rnacentral:rRNA from 1 species
UAUGUUUUCAUGCCUCCAAAUCUUGGAGGCUUUUUUAUGGUUCGUUCUUAUUACCCUUCUGAAUGUCACGCUGAUUAUUUUGACUUUGAGCGUAUCGAGGCUCUUAAACCUGCUAUUGAGGCUUGUGGCAUUUCUACUCUUUCUCAAUCCCCAAUGCUUGGCUUCCAUAAGCAGAUGGAUAACCGCAUCAAGCUCUUGGAAGAGAUUCUGUCUUUUC